CUAAAGAAAAAAAAGUUACCUGCGCUCUCUCCUUAAUCCCUAUGUAUAUUUAAACAAAUGGAGGUCAAAUAAAUGUAAAUAUACAUAGGGAUUAAGAAGAGAGUGCAGGUAACUUUUUUUCUUUGG